rnacentral:rRNA from 1 species
AAUUUGGGGGGACCUUCCUCCAAGGCUAAAUACUCCUGACUGACCGAUAGUGAACCAGUACCGUGAGGGAAAGGCGAAAAGAACCCCGGCGAGGGGAGUGAAAAAGAACCUGAAACCGUGUACGUACAAGCAGUGGGAGCCCCACCACCAAAGCAUUCUCUGGUGUUGAAGGCCCUGCAAAGCAGCAUCGCGGUGGCGGAGCGUCGUUUGCGACGCCCAACACACAAAACAAGCGGUGAGUGCUUUGGGGUGGGGUGACUGCGUACCUUUUGUAUAAUGGGUCAGCGACUUAUAUUCUGUAGCAAGGUUAACCGUAUAGGGGAGCCGGAGGGAAAC